CCCUUAGAUGUUCUGGGCCGCACGCGCGCUACACUGACGAAGUCAGCGAGCAUGUCCUACGCCGACAGGUGCGGGGAAUCUUGUCAAGCUUCGUCGUGAUGGGGAUUGAUUUUUGAAAUUCUUGAUCAUAAACGAGGAAUUCCUAGUAAGCGCAAGUCAGCAGCUUGCGUUGAUUACGUCCCUGCCCUUUGUACACACCGCCCGUCGCUACUACCGAUUGAAUGGUUUAGUGAGAUCUUCGGAUUGGCGCCACUGCAGCUCAGCAAUGGGCUUGGUGGAUGCCGAAAAGUUGAUCAAACUUGAUCAUUUAGAGGAAGUAAAAGUCGUAACA
rnacentral:rRNA from 1 species